rnacentral:rRNA from 1 species
CUUUGAAAAAAUUAGAGUGCUCAAAGCAGGCGCUUGCGCCUGAAUAGUGUUGCAUGGAAUAAUGGAAUAGGACCUCGGUUCUAUUUUGUUGGUUUUCGGAACUUGAGGUAAUGAUUAAGAGGGACGGUCGGGGGCAUUCGUAUUUCGGUGUUAGAGGUGAAAUUCUUGGAUCGCUGAAAGACGGACAAAUGCGAAAGCAUCUGCCAAGAACGUCUCCAUUAAUCAAGAACGAAAGUCAGAGGUUCGAAGACGAUCAGACACCGUCCUAGUUCUGACCAUAAACGAUGCCAACUAGCGAUCCGCAGUGGUUGCUAUAAACGGACUCUGCGAGCAGCUUCCGGGAAACCAAAGUGUUUGGGUUCCGGGGGAAGUAUGGUGCAAAGCUGAAACUUAAAGGAAUGACGGAAGGCNCCACCAGGAGGA